GCGGGGGGUGGGGCGGGGUGGGCAGAGAGCAGAUGGAGAAACCAAGGCAGCCAUGGAUAGGCCUCACACAGGGCGGGGCAGGCCCGGACUCAGUCUGCUCCCUCCUGCCCUUGCCAGCAGUGCUCUGGACAGCUCCAGGGCUGCUUCCUCCCGGUAGCCUGCCCUGAUCCACACCCACCAAGAAGCCCUGCUGGCCCUCGGACGCCCCCUCCCGCCCGGUGACUACUUGUACGCGUUGGCCUUGUGCUUUGGCAGAAAGACGAAGUUGGGCGGCACAGGUCCCAGCAGCAUCUCACUGUGAAGAGGGCAGGGAACAGGGUCAGGCCUGGGGUCAGGCCCACCGGCCCCUCGGCCUCCCGCACCCGCAGACUUCGGUUUCCUGGCACCUGAUCCGGAUCCAGUCGGCCGCCUUCUGACUGGCCAUGAGCGUCUCCAGGUAGUCUCGGCCCAGGUAGUAGGGCGGCCGCUCGUUGAUCCUCUGCGGGAGCCUCUCCAGGAGGCCCACGGGCACGUACCUGCGGGACGGCGGGCACGGGGUCAGGCCAAGGCGCCCCCACCCUCCACCUCCACCCGCAUGGCCUCCAGCAGCCACCUGCACAGGAAGGAAAGCCACUCGAGGAGGAAGCGGCGGGUCUUCUCCACGCCCUGCGUGUCGGAGCCCCAGUGCUCCAGGCCGUAUCGGGUGAAGUCCUGCAGGAUGGCCAGGCGCUCGGACGACGAGAUGUCCCAGUGGCGCUGCUCCUUGAUCUCCGUGAACAGCCACGGCUUCAGCAGGGCACCCCUGGGAGGGCGGGGCAGGGUGGCAUCAGCGGCCUGGCAGUUGGAGCCCUGGUCCCUGCCUCCCCACUGUGCUCAGCCAACUUUCUAACCCCAAGAGUUCCAACCCACAAGUGCACGUGUGUCCGGUCCCCUCUGCUCCAGUGGCUAUGACUGUCUCUCUGCCCCCCAUCCUGGCAGAGCCACCUGCUAGGGACAAAGCGCAAGGGAGAGGGAAGCAGACAGGCUGGGGCUCAGCAGCGGCUGCCGGGACAAGACUCAGAUGCACCCUCACCUUUGCCCACACCGCAGGCCGGGCGCUCGGCGGUGGCUCCGGCUGGUUCUCUAUAGCCACCCCCCAUGGCACAGAGCACACUUACCGGGCAAUCAUCACCCCGGCGACGCCAGUCUGCAUGGCACGCUCGGGGAGCAAGCGGUGUGCCAGGUUCACGCGCUCCUGGACGCCCGUGCGGAUCUUCACUGUCAGCGGCACGUCCAGCACCUGCGGUGGUGACUGGGACAGAGAUAGAGAAAGCACAAGCAAAAGGAGCAGCAGACAAAAGAAGAAAGCAAGGUCCCCACUGAGCAGGGAGCCCGAUGUGGGACUCAAUCCCAGGAUGCCGGGAUCCUGACCUGAGCCAAAGGCAGACGCUAAACCAACUGAGCCACCCAGGUGUCCCCAUGCAGUUCUUCUGCCCCCAUAAUUCCAGUGGGCUCAGCAGGGAGCCCUGACCACGUACCUUUCUCUUCUCACAAGGCCGCAGCCUCACUAUAUCCUCAUCCGUCAGGGGCCCACAGGUCUGCACCGAGCUGCUGGCAAGGGCACCAGCGCCUGGCUCCAGGAGGGCCUGCUGGGUGUCACCACCAUCCUGCCCCGGGGCCCCUUCAGUCCCUGAAACCUCAGGGGUGGCAGCAGCAGGGGAAGGGCCUGUGCCGGGGCCCCUGCUCAGCUGGCGUAGGGCCUGCUCAGCGCGCUCGAAGCGGACCUGGCGCUUCCGCAGUUGCUGCUGCAGGGCUCUGUCCAGGCCGUUGCGGACUGGCGGGGCCUGCACCCGCUCUUCCCGCACCAGGUUCUGCCCUUCGGGCCCCAGGUGGGCCCCAGCAAAGCGGCAGGUCACGCCGUAGGGGCAUCUGCCAAAAGUCUCGAAAAGCACACAGCGGGGGCCCAGGUCCGAUGGCUUGGUCUCCAGGUAGCGGCCCACGUCGUGCAGGAAACGGCAGCGGUCGCCAAAGAAACACUUUGCAGCUGAUUCCUGAGAGGGAACCACGGGGCCAUGAGGGGGGGCAGGGAGAGGCCAGGCAGCCUGAGUGUGAACCUCAAACUCCUCCCCCCACUCCUCCGUGUCCUGCGUGUGCAGGUCAGGCACCCAGCAAGUCUGAGUGUCUUCAUCUGGGAGAGGGGAACAAUAACACAUCACAGCUUCCUGAGCACUGAGUCCGGGGGCACAGAGACUCCGACUCUAGGACUUCCAAGCGGCAGUUCCACUCACCUGGACCAGGGAGGGGCAGAGCCUAUUCUUGUCGUAGUGGGUGGGUUUCAUGUGGGGCCGGCCCUUGUUCUGGCCCCGGGCUCUCUUCUGAACCUGUGGCCGCUCCCCCAGUUCGGCCGCCUCCCCCGCCUGCCCAUCUUCCAGUCGGAUCCGCUUGGCCUCAGGCUCAGCCAGGUCAUUGCCACCGGGCUCUCCGGCCUCGAUUUCCUGGCUGGGUUUCUCCUGCCCUUUGGCUUCCAGGAAUUCGUGGAACUGCUCCUUGGUGGUGAGGUACCUGCCGGCACAGAGGCAGAAGGAGACGGGCUGGAGGAGGGAGUCCUUUUUCCAGCUCAGAUGCAACGGAUGCUGGGGGAAGGGGCUGAGAACACCGGCCCUGCUUCCGUGCCUCUGCUGAUGGGUACCGCAAAUACUGAGAACGGCCAGCUCCAGCCAGGGCACACCUCAAGGCCACAGGCAGAGCCUAUUUUGUCCCUGUGUCCCCCUGCCCAGGGGGUUGAGCCAAGCUACUAACAGGCAUGAACAUUCCUGGCCACAUCCGGCUAGAGAAAACUACAUGUCCCGGCAUGCCUUGCAAUGGGCCCACGGCCGCCACAUUCCCCAGCGUGCCCCACGGCCCUCGCUUCGGUCACAAGUCCCCGCCCGCCGCUGAGGCUGGCAGCAGGUGCACAAGGCUACUCCCGCCAGGGCGGAGACUACAGUCCCCAGCAUGCACUGCGGCCCGAGCCUCCAACAUGCCCGCCCCCGCGGGCACCGCGGUGUCCUUCGCACACGUGACAGCCCCCAACGUGCGCCGUCCGCUCCGACUCCGCGGACGCAGGAACGGCCCGGACUGAAGAGCCCGCGAGCUGCCCGCCGGGCCGCCGCCCCGCCGCCCCGCAUGCACCGCCUGUAGGUGCCGGGGAGGCCUCGUGAGGGUCUCCCCGGCCUCGUCGACUCACUGAGGCUUAAUGGGCGCCACGCCCCGUUCCGGCGCGCCAGCCGCCGCGUCGCCGCCGCCACCACUUUCUGCCGGGGCCUCCGCCGCUCCCUCCGCCAUCAGCCCCCCUCACGCCCGCUCUGGAGUGCGGCGGGAAGGGCUUCCGGGUCGCGAGUGCGAUUUCCCGGUCGUGCCGGGGAAACGCGCAUGCCUGGGGCGCUCCAGCGGACGCCAUUGUACGCGCGUCGACGUGAGGGGGCGGGGCCUGCGGGGGCGGAGCCUCGGGUCCCGCUUAGGGUACGGGGCGGAGCGGCCCGCGGGGUGCAGCCUCGGGUCCCGCUUAGGGUACGGGGCGGAGCCUCGGGUCCCGCCAAGGGUAGCGCUGCGGAGCGGCCCGCGGGGUGGAGCCUCGGGACCCGCCUAGGGUAGCGCUGCUGAGCUACCUCCUACCUACGGGAACGGAGCCGCGGGUCGCACCUAGGGUAGCGCUGCGGAGCUGCCCGCGGGCCGCGCAGGUGCUCAGUGGCUCCCCCUACCGGCCGCCGCCGGCCCACGAGAGUAUUCUACAAGCUUUAAAAAGACGGACCCCCGACGACCGGACGCGAGGCAUUAACGGCAGAUGCCUAGUUGAGCGUCUGUCCGCGUGCCAGAGGCCGCCCUCGAGGCCGGACGUGCAGCUGUGCCUGCGGCGGCCGGUCGUGCCCCUGAGAGGUCGCGAGGGGCGGG